UACGGAGGGUGCGAGCGUCGUCCGGAAUUACUGGGCGUAAAGCGUGCGCAGGCGGUUGUGUAAGUCUGGCGUGAAAUCCCCGGGCUCAACCUGGGAAUUGCGAUGGAGACUGCACGGCUAGAGUGUGUCAGAGGGGGGUAGAAUUCCACGUGUAGCAGUGAAAUGCGUAGAUAUGUGGAGGAACACCGAUGGCGAAGGCAGCCCCCUGGGAUAACACUGACGCUCAUGCACGAAAGCGUGGGGAGCAAACAGG
rnacentral:rRNA from 1 species